GGUUUUCCUUCUUCUUCGUCGUCCUCCCGUCCCCCAAUCGUUUGCCUCGUUGGUCCAUGGGCAUAGGUUCGGUCUACAAUGGACCUAAUGAACGGGUAGUCGAAUGUGAGAGGAGGGCGGCCACGAAUUGGAAUAAUUACUUAACCAG
ensembl:ncRNA ZK377.7 ncRNA